UAGUAAGUGAUGUGCUGAAAUGUAUGCACCUUAACAAAACUUCCACCAGGAAAAUUUUCUCCUAAAUAGGAUGCAGCUUUUGCUAGGAAGAGAGAAAUCAUAUUUCGUAGUUUUCAUGGGAGCUUAACAUGUUGAGGGAAACCUCAUCCGCAGUCCAUGCUAAGGACCAGACUGUCACCUACUGGGGAUUGUGAUUUAAAAAAUGAAAGAUGUGAUUCAAUUCUUUUGCAAGUUAUUUGUGGCUAUCAUGCUUCAGGUAGCUUGAGCAAUAGACUUCUCUAUAUCUUCCCUUGGACUUUCACUCCUUGAAGAUCUUCAGGGGAACAUUACUGCAGAAAUAAAAAUCAUCAGCUUCUGUACCUGGAGGAAGAGAAGACAGGUGUGUAAACCAGAUGGACAGAUGGAACAAAAUGUCACUGAAUUGUGCAGGCAUGGAAAUAGAAAGACCUAGGACAAAUGGCAUUUUGGAUGGAAGGUGACCCAGUCAGUCACUUGUAGUCAAUUCUUAUUAAAACUGAAAUAGACUUUAGAAAACAAGUUGGAAGGUAGACGGAAUGAUGCUGAAUGUUUGUUAGUCCGUUUCAUGCGUGCAUGUGUGCUGGAAAGAGGAGGACACACCCAAGACAGGUCUAAAACUAGAAGCUUAAUAUACAAGAAACUUAUUGGAUGGCUUCCUUGGAGGAAGAG
rnacentral:lncRNA from 1 species